AUCCUUAUGCUGAGGGAGUGCUGGGAGAGUCUUCAGAGCCCAUUCCUCUGAGCUCCGGCCCUUAGAUAACAUCAUUGAAACUUUGCGUGUUACUGCCUUUGACAUUUGUUGGAGUUCAUUGUAGAUUCUGGAUAUUAGCCCUUUGUCAGAUGAACAUUGAUGCAAAAAACCUCAAUAAAAUACUGGCAAAACGAAUCCAGCAGCACAUCAAAAAGCUUAUCCACCAUGAUCAAGUGGGCUUCAUCCCUGGGAUGCAAGGCUGGUUCAAUAUACGCAAAUCAAUAAAUGUAAUCCAGCAUAUAAACAAAGCCAAAGACAAAAACCACAUGAUUAUCUCAAUAGAUGCAGAAAAAGCCUUUGACAAAAUUCAACAACCCUUCAUGCUAAAAACUCUCAAUAAAUUAAGUAUCGAUGGGACGUAUUUCAAAAUAAUAAGAGCUAUCUAUGACAAACCCACAGCCAAUAUCAUACUGAAUGGGCAAAAACUGGAAGCAUUCCCUUUGAAAAAAUGGUUCUUAUUCUUACAACCUCACAAGCAACUAAGCUUGAAAAGCUGCACAUUAAUCAAGUUUAUUAAAUACAUCAGGUAAUAAAAGGUAUAGAUUUAUGUGUGUUGUGGGGUGGGUGUACGUCAGUUUCUGUGUGAGAGAGAGAAGGCAGGAAGGAAGGCAGAAAAAAGAGAGGAAUAUUACAUAAUUGACCACAGUUUAUGAGGUCCUCAAGAAAUUACAGGGAAUUAGUCCUUAUGGACAAGGCUGACAUAGAUGGAGAGGACAACUUGACACACCUAGCUAUGGUUAUAUAUUGAUAUAAAUAUCAUUUUCUUUUUUUCUCUCUUUUUUUUAAUGGAGUCUCGCUCUGUUGCCCAGGCUGGAGUGCAGUGGCACAUCUUGGCUCAACGCAACCUCUGCCUCCCAGGUUCAAGCGAUUCUCCUGCCUCAGCCUCCCGAGUAGCUGGGAUUACAGGCGUGUGCCACUGGGCCUGGCUAAUAUUUGUAUUUUUAGUAGAAACGGAGUUUCAUCAUGUUGGCCAGGCUAGUCUUGAACUCCUGACCUCAGGUGAUCUGCCCGCCUCAGCCUCCCAAAGUGCUGGGAUUACAGGCAUGAGUCACUGCACCUGGCCCCAAAAUAUCAUUUUCUAGUCAUACAAACACUCACAUGUGUUAGAACAUGCAUUAGAACAGAUGUAGUGGAGGGUGUCUAGUGGUGAAAUAUGAUGGUGACACAAAACCCCUCAUCCAGCCCCUUUUCAUCCCAGCUUCACCUGCCCUAAGGCUGAGCCUUGAACCUGCUCUUUCUGAGUCCUCACAAUGGUCCUGAGCCCCCUGCUGUACCGAGCACCCUCUGGUGUCCUGAUUUUCCUCGAUGGUUCCUGAGAGCCCCCGGCUGACCUGCGUGCCUCUACAAUGGUCUUGAGUGCCCCUUGGUGUCCUGAGAGCCCCCUGGGGACCUGAGCAACCCCUUCUGUCCUAUGCACCCCCACAGGGAGGUUUGGGUGUGAGCUCACACUGUGAUUCCCUCACUGUGUCUUUGGCUUAAAAAUACAUGGCUAUGUGCUUGUUGCUCAUGUAGCUCAGCUGUAGGAAGAACUGCUUUUUUGGACACGGAUCUGGGGAUGGUGACUGGACACUUGAGGAGUGGGUGGUAAUGUGUGCUCCCUUCAUGACCUAUGCACCCAAUCCACUCCAUUCCCUUCCCUGGGGGGCUGAUGGAUCCAGCUUCAGCAGGAAGACCUCGUUAUCAUGGGGAACACAGACACAGCGCAGGUAAGGGAGAGGGUCUGUGAGGGCUUCACCAGGCCAAGAGUGCGCUGAGAAACACAGUUGUUGGCAUGCACAGGUUCUGGGCAAUACAUUGAAAUUCUCAAAUAUGUACAUUUUUAUGAGAAUAAACAGCUCACUUGUGUUCAAUUUGUGAAUCUCCUAGAGCAAUGCAGCAGAUUCUGAGGUUAGAUUCAGACAAAUAUAGGGUCACGUUUUUCUCCAUAGUUGGAACCAAAUUAUAAAGAGAAACUUAUGUCAGUAGAAUGGGCAUUGAACUAUCUCUGUCUAUGAUAAUGGUGAUGUUCAGAAUAGGAUUGGGAUGUGACAACCUGAAGGGUGUCCUAAUUAUUAACCCACAAUUAGACCUCAGCAGCAAUCACUGGCAGUGGAGGUCACCCACAUGGAGAAAUGUCUGACUCACUGAAGCUGCACCUGGGGGUCUCUGCAGGCUCUGAGUUGUACAGGAACAGCUCCUCCCUCAGACUCAGAGUGAGGACAAUCUCUGCUCUUUCUCUGGGGGAGGUGAGGGUUAGUAUGAGGAAAGAACCAACCUUACUGUAAUCAAGAUCUCUGUUCUUAGACAGAAACCAAAGAAUAUGAGAAAAAACUGAUCUCAGUUUAAACAGAACAAUUCAUCAUGAGGAAGGUAAUAAUAUGUCUGGAUGCUGCACAGAAUUAAGAAACAAUGAAUUUGGGAUAAGGUUGAACAUUAUUUUGCAAAGUCUGUUUUUUUUUUGUUGUUUUUUUUUUUUGAUGGAGUCUCACUCUUGUUGCCCAGGCUGGAGUGUAAUGGUGUGAUCUUGGCUCACCAUAACCUUCACCUCCCGGGUUCAAGCGAUUCUCCUGCCUCAGCCUCCCUAGUAGCUGGGAUUACAGGCAUAUGCUACCAUGCCUGGCUAAUUUUGUAUUGUUAGUAGACAUGGAUUUUUCCAUAUUGGUCAGGCUGGUCUCGAACUCUCGACCUCAGGUGAUCUGCCCGCCUUGGCCUCCCAAAGUGCUGGGAUUACAGGCAUCAGCCACCACGUCCGGACCAGACUCUGUUCUUAAUUAUCUAUGUCAUCUGAGAAAAUGAAGUAAAAUCAUGGUUUUUAUAUAAAAAUUCACAAACUGGGUGCUGGCCCUGAGAAUCCACCUCCCAUCUCUCCAACAUCAGGGAGCCCAAUAGACCAGGCAGCCAGCUGCUGCACUGCACUCUAACACCUGUCACCUGGUGUGUGCCAAAGACACCCAACCUGGGAGCUCCUCCCAGACAAUGGCUGUGCACAGCGGAAGUACUGAGGCAUGGCUGCUGCUGGGACACAUGGGAGAUUCCUGAUGGACAACUGAGCUCUGGGAGGCACCAGUGGCCUCGCUGAACUUAGCUUGGACCCAGGGUAUUUAGGUAAGCUCCAUCAAACUCCCACUCUUCUCCAGCACUAGUGGUGAGAUUGACAUUCUGGGGUGGCAGUGUCUACAGCCUCCCUGGCCUCCUGUGCAUUUUUAUGCCUCCAUUACUUACAUCUGCCUUUGGGACAAAUGAGAAUGUUUCCACUUCUUAUAAUAAAUUUUUCUAAUCCAGAGACCUCAGGGAUGGGCACAGAAACAUAAAUGUCAAGAGGCUCCCAGGGGAACUGUUGGAUGCAGAGAAAGCCACAGACCCUGAAGGAAAGUAGCCCAUGACGACCGUCUGCACCUGCCCUAGAGCUUCCCCUGUUUUCUGUGGGUCUUGAGUGCUCCCUUUAUCCCAGCCUCCUCCCUUAUCAUUACAGGAACCUCUGUGUCUGUGUUCACACUGAUGUCUUCUUACCUGGUGCCUCACAUACAGUAACACACAGCUGUGCCCUCUGCUCUCAGACUGUUCAUUUGCAAAUACAGUGAGUUCUUGGCAUUUUCUUUGGAGACGGUGAAUCUGCUCGUCACAGAUUGUGCAUAACAUAUCUGACUUCCAUCACACUGUAUAUCUACUACUCACUCCAGCCCCUUCCCUGGAGCCUGGGAAACCGAGCUCAUUCAGUAGCUACUGAAGGUUAAUCCAGAGGCUGCACAGGAGAGUCUCAGGGAACCCCAGGUUGUCUUGGGUCCUCUCCAGACUCCACCAGCUGUACCUCACACUGGACACCCGUAAACUCGUAGAGAUCCUGGUGAGAAACUGCCUGACAUAUCCACUGUUUCUCUCAAAUAUAUUCACUCACACUCUAUUUCUCUGGUUUACCUUUUAAAAUAACAACUGUGAAACCCAGCUCAGCCCAGACUCCAUGAUGGGUCCUCUGUCUUUAGUCCUGAUCACAAAACGGAAACCCCUGGGAAUCCCAGGGCUGGGGCUUCUCUCCCAAACCUACGGGGUCAGGACUGGGCUGGUUUUCAUCAACAAAGGGAGAAACCUGUUUGCAUGUCUCCUACUGUAUAGCAAGCUCUGGGAUGGGAAUCCUGAGGAGGGGCAGGGGUCAGAGCAGACAAAGUGCCUUGGGGGAGAUUGGUAGUCAUCUUAUCACUCAGGAAAAUAUCAUUUUAUAUUAUGUGAUCAUGCCUUGAUAACUAUUUAGCAGUCAUCAUCUUAUUUCAUUUCUACAUAUUUGCAGAAUACAUUUAAUGCAAGUGUCAAUGUUACAUUUUAAGGAAUUUACAUUACACACAGAACAGAGUGGCUGUACAAUAUGGUCAAGAUCACACAGCUGGACAGAAUUAGUCCCAUUAUCCAUGCCUGUGCCUCUGACCACUAGAGAAGACUGCUCCCCUGAGACAACUCCAGGGCAGUGUGGGACAUGCCUAGUGAGGUUUGCAGGAUUCCACCCCUGCCAGGAUAUCUCUGUUUUCUUUUAGUGUAUUCUGUUGUUUAUCUGAAAUAUAUAUAGAGAGAACCAGUGUUCAUACAUGUGUACUUUCAAAAGUCAGCGAUGUUUCAAGUGUUAAUAGCCAUCUAUUUUUUGCUCCUCCUCAACCAACACAUUCAUUUGUUUCUUUGUUACUGCUUUUUUAAGUACAAAAUUAACAAAUAAUUAAUUCAAAUAUAUACUGCACAAUUUGGAAUAUGUUAAUGUAUGUGUGCAACCCUUUAAUCAGGGUUUCAAUUAAGUCGUGUGCAAUUAAGUUAACCUCUAAAUCUUUCUGUCACUUCUCUGUAAUUUCAUCUCAACACCCCAUUACUUUCAACACCCAAUUCUCACCAAAUUCUCUUCUCUGUUACUUUAGAAUAGUUUUACCUUCUACAGUUUAUACAAAUAGAAGUUUAUGAAGUGCACUGUUAAUACUUUAGCUACUUCCACUCAGCGCAGUUAUUUGUGAAUGUAGCCAUGACUUUAUGUGAAUGAGGAUGCCUUGAUUCUAAUGCUGCAUUGUACUUUACUUCAUAAUCUUAUGUCAAAUUGUUUAACAUUCACCUGUAAUGGAUAUGGAUAUUUGAUUUGUUCUCUUAGUUUCUGGCUUUUAUAUAGAAAUCUACUCAGUGUGGGAAUGUGAAAAAUGAGGAAACUAUGAUCUUAUUCUGUCCUCAUUAACAACAAACCUGAAAAACUGUGAAUAAAGGAAGAAGAAAAACCUGUAACAUUUGUGAGUUAGUUUCACAGAGAAAGCAAGAAGACUGAAAUGUGAGGAGAGAGAGGCCUGCAGAGAGGACUGGGGCCCACAUGUUAGUGAACCCAGGGCAGGUGCCACUGGAUGGCAUUGAGAGAGGAACAGGCUAACCUGGAAAUAUUUAGUGAGGAUUUUUUUUGGAUGCAUGUGCUAAUGGUAUUAGAGUGUGAAUCUACUAGUCCUUGCAGGCUUUUCCCAGGAAUUUGAAAAAUCCACAGUCAACUCCCUUAUCUGCUGUCCUGUGGUGCUGACAGGAAGGGAAGAACAGCGAGGACUGUUGAACGCCUGGAUCCACCUCCACUGUCUCCAGGGGAAAUCCAAUCAAACCUGUGACCUAUGGGGUGUGGUGGAGUCAACAGAAACAAAAGAAAACAGAGGAUUCCCAGGAAACUCCAUCUAGAAGAAAUCCUUAAUCUGCAGGACGGAGUUUUGCUCUUGUUGCCCAGGCUGGAGUGCAAUGGCACGAUCUCGGCUCACAGCAACCUCCGCCCCCCAGGUUCAAGCCGUUCUCCUGCCUCAGCCUCCGGAGUAGCUGGGAUUACAGGCAUGCGCCACCACGCCUGGCUAAUUUUGUACUUUUAGUAGAGACGGGGUUUCUCCAUGUUGGUCAGGCUGGUCUCGAACUCCAGACGUCAGGUGAUCCACCCGCCUCGGCCUCCCAAAGUGCGGGGAUUACAGGCAUACACCACCGCACCAGGCCUGUCGUCCUCCUUUCUUGCCUGCCACAAGGAUGUGAGGAAGCAGAACCACAGAUAAGAAAGAAAGAGGAGCCCUGGAGACAGCUGAGGUGCUGGCGAGGAGGGAGAGCCCUGAGCAGAUGAGGAAGCCCCGCCCUCCCUGCACCUGCUCCUGACCCGGCCUCAUGCUCUGUGGGCCCCGCGCGCCCCCUGCUGGUCCUGAGCGGCACCUGCGCCCGCCCCCUCCGCCUCCCUGCGGUCACAGAGCUCAGCUUCAGGGAAAACUGGUUCUUGGACGUUUCUAUUGACAUGGUGACUCAACUCCUGAGGGACGGGGUGUAGUAGCUCCUCCCACUAUAAUAGAUGUAUCCAAUCCAUUCCAGCCCCUUCCCUGGGGACUGGCGGACCCAGCUCCACCAGUUACCACUGCUGAUGGAGUCACCAGAGACAGCGCAUGUGAGGGACAGGGUCUCCGAAGGCUUCACCAGUCCUGGGCCCCACUCCUGCAGCUGCACCUGGGACAGGACCCCUGUGAACACAGAGACCCACUGUGAGCCCUGGGCUCAGAUGCAGCCUCCCAUAUCUUCAUAUCUGCAUCCUGGAGACACUCACUUCUGGGAGCUGCCACCAGGGGGAGGAAGAACCACAGGUUUUUCAUGUUCUUUUCACACGAGGUCCAUGACUCUCAGAAAGCAUUUCCCGUGUAAGCAGAACGCCGAAUUUAAGGAAAUGUGUGGUGGUUUCCUGUGGGCGCUUAAGUGAGGAUUUGCAUGUGGGUGGUGCCUUUGUAUGGAGAGAUGAAAAGGGAUGAGGGAGGCCGCAGUCUUUCGGGUUCACCCUGGGAGGAGGAUGCUGGCUGUGCCCUCUGAGAACUCAGUUCUCUACCUGUGGCCUCCCCUCACCAAGCACAGAGUCCUCUUCAUCCAGAUAGGAAAUGUGUUGAAGGAGCUGUUCUGGGAGAUGAGUGUGAUCAUGGAUCAAGGACAGAUUUUGGAACAGGGUCAAUAUUGUUCUACACUUAAAGACUCAUGUAAAACCAUCCACACACCCAAGUCAUUCGAAUUGUCAUUUAUACCUUCAGACACAUUGAAACAGCAGCUGAGUGUAAUAAUCUCAGUGAGUUCAGACAAACCUGGAUGCAUCCAAUGUUUAUCGUAGUUCUGAAUAUCCAUCGUAGAUAUCUUACCAUAUGUAAGAAAUGGUGUAUGACCAUUUCUUACAUAAUGGGAGUUGACUGUAAAAAUAGCAUGAAGAUGUGUAAAUAUAAUGCCUAGGUAGAUAAACUGCUGAAUUAACAAAGCCUGGAGCCAAUUAUAUUCUGGCAUCUUGUUAUUUAGUUGUGAAUUUAUUUUCAGUUGGUUAGUUCAAUUUCCCAAAAUUCAAUUUCUGCUAAAAUAGUCACAUACAAUAACCUUGAGAUAUUAAAAUGAAAAAAAAAACUAAUUUGAAAAUGAACCCAGCUUCCAGAAGUGAGAAUUACUUUGUGGUGAAUGGUAAGAAGGGUGGAGACACAGCUGAAUACCAAGAUUGUGUUCACAAUUGUUUUAAUUAGGGGAACUUCUAUACAUCCCUUCUAUUUAUUAGAAACUCCCAUUGAGAACCUUGAACUAACAUAAUUUGUUGAUAGAUUACACAAAAACAAUGAAGCUGAAGGUUAUUAAGCAGGAAUUGCUAUUAUAAAAUUAGCUUUCCUUUAGAACAUAUUCCUGUACCUGAUGUGAAAUUAGCCCAGGUGCACUGAUGAGAGCUUGUCAGUUAAGCAAAGAGCAGGAAAUGGGCUCACAUGUGUCUGGAGCAGGGCAUGGCUUUGGCAUGUUUUGCUAACAAAGUGGCUUCUCACAUCUUCUGGAAAACCCAUUAAAAUGGGCAAGUUAAGGAUCUCUUAUGAGCACCCGUCUAUUCCACAUUCUUGGCUAAUAUAAAGGUGGAUGUCGAUGCAAAAUGAGAUAAGAUGGAAGUUAAGGAAACUGCUGCAUCACUGCCUCAGCUCAGCACAGCUGCCUCCCACAUCAGGAUUUCUGACACUCUCAGGAUGUGGGUUUCCACAUGGUGUAUCUCGCACAGUAAUACAUGGCCAUGUCCUCAGCCUUUAGGCUGCUGAUCUGCAGGUAUGCUGUGCUGGCAGAGGUGUCCAUGGAGAAGACAAACCGUCCUGUGAAGCCCUGGGCAUAUGUUGGGUUCCCAGUGUAGGUGUUGAACCAUCCCAUCCACUCAAGCCCUUGUCCAGGGGCCUGUGGCACCCAAUUCAUACCAUAGGUGGUGAAACUGUAACCAGAAGCCUUGCAGGAGACCUUCACUGAGGCCCCAGGCUGCUUCACCUCAUGGCCAGACUGCACCAGCUGCACCUGGGAGUAGGUACCUGUGGAGAGGACACAGGGGUGGGUAAAGCCUCACUUGAGUGGCCUGGUUUCUUCCUCAGCCCUGAGACUGGGGAGCCCCUUACCUGUUGCUGCUGCCACCAAGAAGAGGAUGCUCCAGGUCCAGUCCAUGGUGAGGAGCUGUGCUCUAGGGGAUUCUCCCAAGGAGGGAUGUUGUUGUUGGGUGAUGCUUUCAGGGUACAGAGAUACUAUAUUCCCCUCAGUUAUUUGCAUAUUCAUGAAGGAUGCUAUUUAAUAGACCAAUUCCUGACCCAGUAUGAGAAAGAGAAAAUCCAUGACACACGGACGACACAAUUGUAGAAGCUGAGGGUUCGAGUCGUAAUCCUGUUAGAGGCCAUGCAUCCCCUACCCAUCCCUGAACUCUGUGUUGACAGAGCUUCCUCCACUGGGGAACAACUCCCCGAGGACAGCACCUCACUUUGAACCCACAUUUGAAUGUCUCAGGGGCAACGUGAACCAUUUCUAGACCUUAAUAUGUGAAUGCGUUAUUUUGGGAAUGAGUGUGUCUCUCCAAAAAUUGCACUUAUUUAUAAGUAAUAAUCUCUUCCUGACCUCCAGCUGCUAUUAUUAAGAUAACUAGCAGAGUUUGAAAUCGCCAUUAUAAAAGUGGUUCUCAUUACAACAUCCAGUUUGAUAAAUGCUCACAAUUGAAUAGGAUAUUUAUACAAACAUCAGCAGUCCUUGUGAAAUACUUAUUUUAGAUAUUUUUAAAGGAAGUCCCAGGCCCUGAGAGGAACCUCUCCCCAGCCUCAUGUGCACCUGCUCUGGGGCGGAAGACUGUGCUCGAUGUGUCCUGAGCGCCCCCUGCAGCCCUGCCCCCACCCUGCAGGGAGGUUUCUAUCUGAGCUGACAGAGUAUAUUCCUACCAGUGUCUCUAGCCCAGUAUAAAGUGGCUGUGCCCUGGCUCAGAAUUCUGCUUUAUUUACACCAUAUGCUUCUCACACCAUCUUUUGAAAUAGUGAAUCAGCCUUAGGAAACCCAGCGAACUCUGCAGGGACACCCCAAGAAAAGAUCUCACGCAUCACCAGGGAGCCGUUUCCUGGAGCUCGAGAGGCACUGAAUCAUUGGACACAUGGUGAACCCAAACACUCUUCAGGGGUUUGGGGGGACUCUUAUUUCCUUUAGGGUUCUGCAGUUGAUUAUUGUACCUGAUAAUACCUGUAGGCGCAGGUGCAUGUGGAUAGAAGCCCACUCCAACUCUACUAUUCAACUCAGACACACACACACACACACACACACACACAUACACAUUGUGGCUAAUUUUUACAUUAGUGGGCCCCAUGUUUGCCCUUUUUUCUGGUAUUUUUCUCAUGAAAAGCACUCCCUACACUGGAACUAAGACUGAAUAUGUGUCUACUUUCUGCAAACAGAAUUAAAGAAAACAGAAUACAAGUGCCUUGCCAAGAUUAAUAUAACUAUGUAAUUUAAUGAUGUAUUUGAAAACCUCCUGGUCAUACAAACACACAUACGUGCACAACAGCCCAGCAAAGACUCAUACAUGUGCCCAUGCAAAAGUGAAUGCAUACGUAAACACCAAAACAACACACCCAUUUGUUUCAUAUUAUUCUAAUUAUUUAAUUGAAUUUAAAUUGUGUUUGCAGUUUGAGAUUUUAGUACAAAAUAAUGCUGAUCUACGUGUAUGUCUGCCUAUUCCAAUAUUAAAAAGACAAAUAUAUUUAAAUACAUGUUUUGGUAAAACUGUAUGUAAAUGCCAUUCUUGUCAAGUAUUGAAACAGGAAUUAAAAGAAAUUAAAGAAUGUGUAAGCAGAAACUCAGUUGUAUGUAAGAAAACCCAAUUCUCCCUGAAAAAGAGAAAGAGCUGGAGUCCUUUAAAAUACUAACUGCCUGUUUUUCUGUGGCUAAUGAGCCUUACCUCUCCUCCCUUCUCAGGCAUUUUGAAGACCCUGAUUCCCUAGCAGUGUAGCUGCAAGGUCACUAGAAAGAUAAACUCAAGUCGCAAAACAUGUUUUUCCUUGAAAAGGAAGAAAUGAUGUAAUACAUGUUUCAAUUGAAUAACUGUCUUUGUUUCUCACUUCUGUAGUAUGCUUCACCCUGCACAGAUGUCCCCUCUCCCACCCCACAAAAUGCUUAAAAGGUAACUGAACUCUGUUCUGGGCUCAGUCCUUUGGAUGUUAAUUCGACUUGGCCGGUGCACCUAAAUAAUAAAUAUCCUCCUGAACCUAAAUAAUAAAUAUCCUCCUGAACAGAGUCGGUCUCUCUGAUUCCUUAAAAAAUCCCAGAACAGUAUGGCACUUAAAUGUGCAAUGGUAUUUAUUUUAAAUAUCAGUCUGUUGUUAAUAAAUUGAAUAACUAAUAAGACAAACAUCACUUUUAAAACUGUAUUACCUUAUUUGUUGAAUUUAGAUGGUAAUUUUCAAACUAGGCAAGAUAAAAUUUUUUACUUGAAAAGUUUUGAAAAAAACUUCUUUGGCAUGAAUAUUCAAUACAAACUGUAGUCUUUAUUUGCCAACAUGCCUUUAUAAUAGAGAACAUCCAGCAAUAUGAAGCUAAACCCAGCCCAUGCUUUUUAGGGCUCACUCACAAUGGCAGCUUCCUAGAGGGUGGUCUGAGAGAGUGUAAGCACAUGGGGAUUUGGGCUUCAUCAUCAAAGUGAAGAAGUAAUUUAUGAAUUUUACAAUAUGUAAAGCCAGAAAAUUAACUUUCCCCUCAGGGCUUACUGUAGUGUGUAGCCCCUCCCCCGUAGUCUAAGUUAGAGAAUACUAACUGCCUGUUUUUCCUUCUGUGCUCAGUGAGCCUUAUCUGUUCUCAUUGGUUUCACAUUCCUUGAGGCUCAGAGGGUUCUUGCUUACCUCCCCAGCACAGCUGCAAGGUCAUAAGAUUGUUAAGUAUAUGUUACAGAACCAUGUAUUCCCAAGGAUGUAAGACAUGAAGUAACAAAUAACUGCCUUUGUUCUCUCUUCUGUAAUUACGCUUCCUGCAUCAUGUAGCUCCCAGCCACUGACUGUGUAAAAGGUGGCUGCUUUCUUUGUCCAGGGCUCAGACUUUCCUGGAUGCUAGUCCAACUGAGCCAGGUGAUCACCUUUUAAUAAAGGACUCUCCUGAA